UUGCGAAAUUACGCAUAAAUCGUGUACCUUUAUCCUUUAGCAGACAAAAUAUGGAAUAUCGUGUUACGACAUUAGUGAAAUUUAUUUUUAAUGCCUGAUACAGGAUAAAUUGGACUUUUUAACCCGAUUACAUGCAUCGGUACUGUUACCAGGUAUUAUUGACACAGGUCUUAGAGACGAGGCUAUUGGAUUUUACAAGAAGCUUACACUUUCUGAUUGAAUAAUAAUUCCCUGCGGAGGUCCUUAUGGUUGCUGGAGGUUAGAAAGAGAAAAAGAAAAGCAAAACACAUGGUUAAACGCUAUCGCAGAAGAAAAUAUCUUACGUAUUGAAAAAUCUUGCUCGAUUAACACCAUAACGAUCGAUUACUUUAGUUUGAAAUCUAACGUUUACGUGGAAACGUGAAAACGUGGUCUAAGUUACGUUUAUUUUGGGAUAUUUGAAAGGUAAAAGCGUACAAUUACCUAAUAACUAAAGAAAUGUAUGAUAAAAAAGUACGACAUACAGGGUGGUUGGUAACUGGUGGUACAGGCGGAAAGGGGGUGAUUCUACGUGAAAAAAGAAGUCGAAAAUAUAGAAGAAAAAUUUAAAAAUUUAAAAAUUUGAAAAUUUAAAAAUUUAAAAAUUUAAAAUUUGAAAAUUUAAAAAUUUAAAAAUUUAAAAAUUUGAAAAUUUAAAAAUUUAAAAAUUUAAAAUUUAAAAUUUGAAAAUUUAAAAAUUUGAAAAUUUAAAAAUUUAAAAAUUUAAAAAUUUAAAAAUUUAAAAAUUUAAAAAUUUGAAAAUUUAAAAAUUUAAAAAUUUAAAAUUUAAAAUUUGAAAAUUUAAAAAUUUGAAAAUUUAAAAAUUUAAAAAUUUAAAAAUUUAAAAUUUAAAAUUUGAAAAUUUAAAAAUUUAAAAAUUUAAAAAUUUCAAAAUUUUAAAAAUUAAAAAAAUAACGUCAAUCGAGACAACGAUCUACAGUGAGAUCCGUUAUAACGAGACGCGAUAAAGUGCACGCGUACCGAGCGAAAAUUCAAAGUCGAUUUUCUCGAAAACGAAGCCUCGAACGAAAAAUUUUUAUUCUAUAUUUUCGACUUCUUUUUUCGCGUAGAAUCACCCCCUUUCCGCUUGUACCACCAGUUACCAACCACCUGUAUAUUUAUAUCGUACGCUGAUAGUGGACACUCACACGACGCGAACGCAGCAGCCAUCAGUCGUCAUAGUGUUAAAGAGCAGAUAAAGUGGCGAAAGAAAUACACAAAUGGCGCAUGUAAGUGUUUACAAAUGGCUAGGUGUUUAAUUUAACCAGUUAGCAAGUUACGAUCUCUUUGAAAAAGUGUGUACCCAAUAAAACGUGUGGUGAAAAGCAAUGACGAUGACGAGUAUACUCGACGAACACAGAGUACGUGUGACUGUUACGAUAUCGAAUUAAGUUGUAACGAAACGAUUGUUUUAUCUUUUAAUUUCGUUGCUCUUCACUCUUCACUCUUAUCGUUUUACGUAAUAUUUCGGAAAAUGAAAGCGUCCCAACGUGUAAUGU